UCUCUCUUUCUCUUUUCAUACAUACACAUAGAUACUUUUCUUUAGAGUCCUUCGCAGUAUCACUUCAAGCUUAGUUCCAACCUUAGUUCCAACCAUAGUUCAAACCAUAGUUCCAAUUUUAGUUCCAACGCAUUAGAAUAGCUAGCUCAUAUAUGUGGAAGAGAAAAUACUGUAAUUCCUAGUUGUAUUACAACUACUAAUACCACCUUUACUAUUGCUGUUGCUGUUCCUGCUGUUGCUACUAUUGGUACCAUCCUACCCUAUCAUCACUCCUAUAGAAUACUUCCGGAAUGAAGUAUACUAACCAAGAGGCAAGUAUCCAAGUGGAUUAACGUAGCGUCGAGUAAGUUGAUUAGACCAAGAGGAAUCGAUGAGAAAAGAGAGAUAGAGAGAAAGAAAGAGAAAGAUAGAAAAAAAGAAAGAGGGAGAGAGAGAAAAGGGUCGGUUUUAGUGGAUGGGAUCAGAUCGAGAGAAAAAAGGGAAAAACAGGGAAGAGGGGAAUAAGAAGGAUGGGAGUUGGAUAGGGUGAAGCGAGGUGAGGAGGAGAUGGGAAGAAGAGGUAGUGGGUGGUGGGUGAUGGGUGGUGGAUACGGAAUGGGGUUUAAGGCUUUCGAAACUCGUCUCGAUAUCUUCUUCUGAGGGAUUCUGGAACGACGCAGGACCGCUUUACUGCGGUAUACCUGCAAUUUGCAAGUUCUACCCCUUCGACACGGUCACGGGCGAAGCCUCUGGAAAGCAGGAAAUCCUGCAAUUAGGUCUAACGGACAAUAUCCGGAUUUUUCAAUAUCCGCCCGUCUUAACGCCGCCACAACCACCACCACCAUCGCCGCCAUCACGACCACCACCAUCAUCUAACUCCUCCUUUUUGAGAAUACUUUGUCAACGUGUAAAAUUCACAUUGAAGAAUUAUCGAGUUGAACUAAAUGAAUAAUAUUAAUUGCAAC